GACGAACGCUGGCGGCGUGCUUAACACAUGCAAGUCGAACGGAAAGGCCCUGCUUUUGUGGGGUUCUCGAGUGGCGAACGGGUGAGUAACACGUGAGUAACCUGCCCUUGACUUUGGGAUAACUUCAGGAAACUGGGGCUAAUACCGGAUAGGAGCUCCUGCUGCAUGGUGGGGGUUGGAAAGUUUCGGCGGUUGGGGAUGGACUCGCGGCUUAUCAGCUUGUUGGUGGGGUAGUGGCUUACCAAGGCUUUGACGGGUAGCCGGCCUGAGAGGGUGACCGGGCACCUUGGGACUGAGAUAGGGCCCAGACUCCUACGGGAGGCAGCAGUGGGGAAUAUUGCACAAUGGGCGGACGCCUGAUGCAGCAACGCCGCGUGCGGGAUGACGGCCUUCGGGUUGUAAACCGCUUUCGCCUGUGACGAAGCGUGAGUGACGGUAAUGGGUAAAGAAGCACCGGCUAACUACGUG
rnacentral:rRNA from 1 species